CACAUGACCUGCUCCACAUGAUGUCAUUUCCUCCUGAAGAAAAGACUGGCCAGACUCCAAGGCUUUCUGAGUUAUUUAAUAUAAAGUAGUAUGUGAGUCAAGUGUGGAUUUAUGGCAUGUCAACAGGUUUACUACAAUAUCUUUAUAAAUAACUUUCAAUUUCAAUUUUACUCAACUGUAUAUAUAAUAUUUAGAAGAAUCUUUUUCUAAAAAUGCCAUGUGGUGUUCGGUUAUAGGCAGCCAUGUUGAUUUUAGGCCUGAAAACAGCAAAAAUGUCAACUAUGAUACCUGUCAACUAUGUUACAAAAAGUCCCGCAAUUAUAUAUUGACCCCACUGGUGACCGAGUUAUUAGUCUAAUAACUUAACAUAAAAAUCUGACAGAUGCCAUAAAAGAGAACAUUAUUAAGGGUUUGAAAGAGCUAGCAACACUUAUGUCAAUAAAAUAGUAUGUCACUAUUUGAUUUAUAGGUUAGCUCAGUCACUCAUAUGAGCAACACUGUAAAAUAAAAAAUAAAAAAACAGGUCAAAAACGGUCCGUGUACCUUCCGUUCAUUUUAUUUCUAAUUCUGAAACGCAAAUCGAAAAAUAUUUAGGGCCAUUUUUUCUAUUGUCAUUUCUGAAACAAAAAUCGGACAACUAUUUAAUGAUCCGUUUUUUAAACAAAAUAUUGCAUUUCUGACUCAAAUUUUAGUUUUCGGGGAAAGGCCUUAAUUUUCUCUUUUUCCAAUUUCAAUUUUCAAUUUUACGCUUUUCAGUCUGUGGCCCGGAAAUAAAUAAAUAAUCGCGCGGAUUGGUCCGUGUGUCAGGAAGGUCACGGUGCUAGUCUGGUCGACUUUGUGUCCGGCAAGAAUUUCUCGUACGCAAUGGAUUCUACCAGUUACAUCCUUUUUAAAGGAAACAAAAGGCUAACGCUUAGGGAGGACGACAUGAAUGGAGAUAAAAUCGCCAGAAUAUUCCAGGUAAGUAGCACUUUUUUCGUUUGUUUGGAGAACAUGCUAAGACCAAAGGAUGCUAUGCAUAGCACACGAAUAGCCGACUGAUUAAGGCUCCUUAAUGUUUUCUUUCCAAGGUAUAUGCUCCGAGCCUGUACAUAACCGAUGAUGACAACGUGGCGAUAUUCCCUGGUUCGGCUGGACAUUUCAGCUGCUUGGACCUUAAGCCUCGUGGCCACUAUGAGGUUCAUGGGGAUGAUAUUGCUCUACCAGUCGCCGAGCAGACUCCUCCAUUGUCAGGCCAGAACCGUUUCCAGUUCCACCGUUCAGCACAGCCCGGGGCUGCUCUAGGGUCACCUGCUCAGGCCAUUGCUCCCACUCCCCCCCGAGCAAGCAUGAGUAACACCUUCCAGAGGUCUGUUUUCAUUGCUGAGCUCAGCCAGGGGAAACUGAAGCCUGCCCGCAUGGUUGUACUCAGACUGUUUGAGUUUGAAGCCACAACCACAGGUAUCCUUGCAAAAUUACAUGAUGCCCUGUAGAGUGAUGACCCUCUCAUCCUGACUGAUGCCCAGGGAAAUGAGAUUGUGGACUCCGAAGGGACAAGAGGAUCCAAGUACUGGAAGCAAAAUGCAAAAAAGUUUCUUGCUGUCCCAGAGCAGAUCUUCCAUGAGUUCCAGCAAGGAACAAAGGGAAAGAAACUGAGCCAUAAAGAUAUGGACUCCACAAGUCUUCAGGGGGUCUAUGAUAAAAUAGAAGAAGUGAUCUUGGCUGCUCAAGGACUGAAUGAAGUCACCAGAGUCAUGAAGGACCUGUCAACACAUGCCAGCAACACCAGGGGUGCCAUGCUGGUUCUGACCAACACCAUGAUAACACACAUGAAGGAUGCCUUUGGUUGUAUUGUAUGCAAAGGGCUAAUGGAAGAGCCUGUGAUUGCCGUAUGCUGCAAAAGCUUUGUUGGCUGCAAAAACUGCGUUGACCAGUGGAUGCUGACAUCCGACCAGUGCCUCAAAUGCAGGGCAGAUGAGUUCUCUGUCAAUGUUCACAGGCUGACCAGUCUUGACAAUCUUCUCUCCAUAUUGGCUGGUGUAAUUAAGAUGGAUUAACCCUUUAAGUGUGAUUGCAUCACAUUCUGAUUUAAGCUUGAUCUGGCUAAUUGCCUUGUUCUAAAGUCAGUUGGAAUUUUGCACUUGUUCAAUAACUGUAGAGGAUACAGAAUAGUUUUAUUUUUAUACUUUUUUUGUAUUUCAUGUUGCACUUAGACCAAUAUUGCUAUUGUAGCAAUUUUAGCAAGUGUCCAAUUUUAUUUGUUAAAGCAAAGUAACAGAAUAUCUACUAUAU